rnacentral:tRNA from 4 species
GCACCCUUAGCUUAUCAGGAAAAGCGGCGGAUUGAAGUCCCGCAGUGCUCGGUUCGAUUCCGAGGGGGUGCACCA